rnacentral:misc_RNA from 1 species
UUUCCGUAGGUGAACCUGCGGAAGGAUCAUUAACGAGUUAGGGUCUUCUAGGCCCGACCUCCCAACCCUUUGUUUACUGAACCAUUGUUGCCUCGGUGGGUCCGUCUUACGACCGCCGGGGGAUCGCCGCGAGGCGCCCCCUGGCCAGCGCCCACCGAUAGCCCAACCUUUAAAACCCUUUGUGAAUCGUGUCUUAUGUCUAAAUUUAUGAUUAAACAAACAAAACAAAACUUUCAACAACGGAUCUCUUGGUUCUG